rnacentral:sRNA from 1 species
UUUCCAUUUCCAAGGCAUUCCUACCUCCCAUUAUUGGGGCUUUUACUAUCAACCUUGAGGACAAGGUUAUUGUCACAUAGGGAGACUUUGUUAAUGGGCUUGGCACUCGUAACAAACCAUUAGGAAUACAUCUAAGCCCCCUUGCCUAAAGGACUUUAUCUACCCUAAACCACGAGUUCUAAUUAGGAAUCUUUUCUAUUAUCCACAAUGAUAAGUGUCUUUGACUAGUUUGUAGGAAUAAUGUAUUCAAGUCUUUAUAUCACCUACUGUGGAAAUGAAGAAGGCAAAGAAUCUUUAUUAUUUUCAAAUAGUUUUCUUAGAGUAGUAUAGUUUUAUUCUUUCUAUCACCUAAGCAUGUAUCAAUGCUCUAUACAUACGUAGGCAAGUAGCUAUAAAAAUGGAUUUAAUCUCUUGUGAUAAGGGUUGUAGGAAUAUUAUUUGUGAAUUGAAAAAUUUUGAUCUCGUAAAUGUUCUUAAAAAUUGGAAUGUGGAAGUUGUUCCUCAGUUCAUAUUUAUUGGUAUGAUAAUUCUUUAGUUGAUAGUGUCGUUGGCGGAGGUCUACUAAUCAGAUUUAGAAUCAUUGUUGGCAGAAUCUUCCAAAUGAAGGCUUGGUUGCCUAUAGGCCGGACUUCAGUCUAGCAAUGUAGUGUUUCUUUCUUCUUAUUUUUUCCUACUAUACUAAAAAAACAUGGUAUCAAAGUUUCAUGACCCUCCAUGGACUGUCUUGUCAAAACUCCACUGUUGAAUUUCCUAAAACAAAAAUGCAAAACUCUAAUUAAUAACAUAAUCUAUUAUUUCUCUUGUUUCCAACAAGACUAUCCCUUUUCCACUGUUUCCAAAUAUGGUUGCUACUCCAAUUCGUAAGUGUUGUUCAUUGUCUGACUUUUUCAUUGACAUACCCUAUGCUCACCACCUUCCCAAAGCAUUGCCUCACCUUUGUCCUCUUAGAUGCAUUGACCCUGACUUUAUACGAUAUACUUUGCCCAGACUUUUCCCAAAUGCAUUGGCCCCAACUUUGUCCCAUAUGAACUAGCCCCUGCCUUUGUCCCAGAUGCACUAGCCCUACCCAAAUGCAAUAGACUAUAUUUAUGCAUUGACAUGGUCUCUAUCCAAGAGCCAUAUGUUCAAGUUUAAAAAUUUUGGGUCUCCAAUAAUAUUUUGAAGCUUCCAAUACGGUUUUAAAAAGGACAGCCCUGCUUUGGUUGCCAUGAAUUGUAUCUCAGGUUGAUGGUCAUCCCAUCUUAGCUAAGCUAUUUCUCUCUCCAACUUCUCCAAUAUUUCUAAGUUACUUUUCCCACAAUUGCUUAGUGGAGCUCAUUUUCUUUUUAGGUAAACUUAAUUAUUUUAUUGUAACAAGCUAACG